rnacentral:rRNA from 1 species
GAUGAACGCUGGCGGCGUGCCUAAUACAUGCAAGUCGAGCGAACAGACGAGGAGCUUGCUCCUUUGACGUUAGCGGCGGACGGGUGAGUAACACGUGGAUAACCUACCUAUAAGACUGGGAUAACUUCGGGAAACCGGAGCUAAUACCGGAUAACAUGUUGAACCGCAUGGUUCAACAGUGAAAGACGGUCUUGCUGUCACUUAUAGAUGGAUCCGCGCCGCAUUAGCUAGUUGGUAAGGUAACGGCUUACCAAGGCAACGAUGCGUAGCCGACCUGAGAGGGUGAUCGGCCACACUGGAACUGAGACACGGUCCAGACUCCUACGGGAGGCAGCAGUAGGGAAUCUUCCGCAAUGGGCGAAAGCCUGACGGAGCAACGCCGCGUGAGUGAAGAAGGUCUUCGGAUCGUAAAACUCUGUUAUUAGGGAAGAACAAAUGUGUAAGUAACUAUGCACGUCUUGUCGGUACCUAAUCAGAAAGCCACGGCUAACUACGUG